rnacentral:pre_miRNA from 1 species
UCAUAUGGGUGAGCAAAGAAAAGUGGUUUCUUGAAAUGGAAUCUACUCCUGGUGAAGGUGCUGUGCA